rnacentral:rRNA from 1 species
UACGUAGGGGGCAAGCGUUGUCCGGAUUCAUUGGGCGUAAAGAGCGUGUAGGCGGCCAGGUAGGUCGGUUGUGAAAACUGGAGGCUCAACCUUCAGACGUCGACCGAAACCAUCUGGCUAGAGUCCGGGAGAGGAGAGUGGAAUUCCUGGUGUAGCGGUGAAAUGCGCAGAUAUCAGGAGGAACACCGAUGGCGAAGGCAGAUCUCUGGGCCGUAACUGACGCUGAGGAGCGAAAGCAUGGGGAGCGAACAGG